rnacentral:rRNA from 1 species
UAGGGAAUCUUCGGCAAUGGGGGUAACCCUGACCGAGCAACGCCGCGUGAGUGAAGAAGGUUUUCGGAUCGUAAAGCUCUGUUGUUAAGGAAGAACGAGUGUGAGAAUGGAAAGUUCAUGCUGUGACGGUACUUAACCAGAAAGGGACGGCUAACUACGUGCCAGCAGCCGCGGUAAUACGUAGGUCCCGAGCGUUGUCCGGAUUUAUUGGGCGUAAAGAGCUUGUAGGCGGUUCGUCGCGUCUGGUGUGAAAGCCCAUCGCUUAACGGUGGGUUGGCGCCGGGUACGGGCGGGCUAGAGUGCAGUAGGGGAGGCUGGAAUUCUCGGUGUAACGGUGGAAUGUGUAGAUAUCGGGAAGAACACCAAUGGCGAAGGCAGGUCUCUGGGCUGUUACUGACGCUGAGAAGCGAAAGCGUGGGGAGCGAACAGG